rnacentral:rRNA from 1 species
AACGAACGCUGGCGGCAUGCCUAACACAUGCAAGUCGAACGAUACCUUCGGGUCUAGUGGCGCACGUGUGCGUAACGCGUGGGAACCUUCCCUUAGGUUCGGAAUAACUCCCCGAAAGGGGUGCUAAUACCGGAUAAAUUCUUCUGACCAAAGAUUUAUCGGCUUUGGAUGGGCCCGCGUUGGAUUAGCUAGUUGGUAGGGUAAAAGCCUACCAAGGCGACGAUCCAUAGCUGGUCUGAGAGGAUGGUCAGCCACACUGGGACUGGGACACGGCCCAGACUCCUACGGGAAGAAGCAGUGGGGAAUAUUGGACGACGGGCGAAAGCAUGAUCCAGCAAUGCCGCGUGAGUGAUGAAGGCCUUAGGGUUGUAAAGCUCUUUUACCCGGGAUGAUAAUGACAGUACCGGGAGAAUAAGCUCCGGCUAACUCCGUG